rnacentral:rRNA from 1 species
GAAUAUUGCGCAAUGGGCGAAAGCCUGACGCAGCGACGCCGCGUGAGGGAUGACGGCCUUCGGGUUGUAAACCUCUUUCAGCAGGGAAGAAGCGCAAGUGACGGUACCUGCAGAAGAAGCACCGGCUAACUACGUGCCAGCAGCCGCGGUAAUACGUAGGGUGCGAGCGUUGUCCGGAAUUAUUGGGCGUAAAGAGCCCGUAGGCGGCCUGUCACGUCGGAUGUGAAAACCCGGGGCUCAACCCCGGGCCUGCAUUCGAUACGGGCAGGCUGGAGUUCGGCAGGGGAGACUGGAAUUCCUGGUGUAGCGGUGAAAUGCGCAGAUAUCAGGAGGAACACCGGUGGCGAAGGCGGGUCUCUGGGCCGAUACUGACGCUGAGGAGCGAAAGCGUGGGGAGCGAACAG